UCUGGGGAAUGUCCCUUUUCCCAUUCAAGUGUAUGAUCAUAUUUUCAAGCAAUCACGUUUACAUUCAGCCUGGAAACUUUCUGCCCAGUUCUUAAGUUCUACUGCCAGCAGCUUGGAUACUACAGAAUGCUGAUUUAGCUCAUAGGAUGCAUUGAACCACUUUGCCAUGGUAACCAGCAGACAGACCUGAGAGAAGCAAGGCUGCAGAGAAACUGUAGCCAUCACCAAACAACAAAUCAAAGGGAAGUGUCUCAGGAGAGAUUUCUAAUUAUCAUACAUUUGUCCUUGCAGCCAAACCAGGAUGCAGUGGAAAUGGUGCCUUUGGCACUAGCAUCUUAGGUCACAAAAUCAUGAUGUCAGAAUGAGUUCUUGGCCUUGGCUGUUGAGGACAGAACGUCCUGAGCCAAAUGGGACAGUGGCUGAGUGAGGACACCAAACCUAUUCUUAGGAGGAGAGAGAGAUGAUGGGGGAUGAAGGGUAUGGAAUUGUAUGCUAUGGCUGCCUGCUGUCGAAGUUCUCCAGGUCCAGAGAGGAUUUAAGUUGCUGGAAUAAUCCACCCAGUCUUCGAGAUGUGAUUAUAUAAUUGAUGGUAUGUGGAUAUCACUGAUCACAAAACACAAUAAAGGACCUAAGGCAACAUCUUUGUUCUUUCUCAAUGUGGGGAAAAUGUUUUUGUUCUACUUGGUAAGGGAAUCAGCUGGCUGGAGGAAUUUUGGAAGGGGUGAGGCAUACACUUUCUUCUAUGUUCCUGAAACCACAACAUUGUUAGGACUCAUCUGUUCAUGAGACCAGACCAAUAGAAAAUGAGCACUUCGUGGAUAAAAAAUACAGAUGGAAACUUAGUGAAAUGUGACCUCCAGUGCUGGAGAUGGACCUAAUGGGAAGUGUUUGAGUCAUGAGAGAAUAUCCUUUAUGAAUGGCUUGGUGCCUUCCCUGUGGCCAUGAGUUACUACAAGAUCUGAUUGUUAAAAAAAGAUUCUAGGACUUCCUGUCCCUCUGUCUUACUCCUCUUUUACCAUGUGACAUGCCUGCUUCCCCUUCACCUUCUGUCAUGAUUGUAAGCUUCCUGAGGUUCCCAUCAGAAGCAGAGUAGUUGCUGGUGUCAUGCUUGUACAGCCCAUGGAGCUGUGAACCAAAUAAACUUCUUUUCUUUAUAAAUUACCUA
rnacentral:lncRNA from 10 species